GAUGAACGCUGGCGGCGUGGAUAAGGCAUGCAAGUCGAACGGAACUAAUCACACGGAAGUUUAAAACAAGUUGAAAUGGAAUUUGAGUAGCAAUACAAUUACGAAGUUUCAAUAAGUUUUUUUCGGAAGAGUGACAGUUUAGUGGCAGACGAGGUAGGAAUAUAUAGGAACAUCCCCCAAGGUCAGGAAUAACUAGUCGAAAGAUUAGCUAAUACUUGAUAUAUCGCAAGAUGAAAGAUUUAUCGCCAUGGGAUUGGCCUAUACGGUAUCAGGUAGUUGGUAGGGUAAAAGCCUACCAAGCCUAUGACGCCUAGGAGAGCUGAGAGGCUGACCUCCACCGAUGGAACUGAGACACGGUCCAUACACCUACGGGUGGCUGCAGUCGAGAAUAUUUCACAAUGGACGAAAGUCUGAUGAAGCGACGCCGCGUGUACGAUGAAGGGCUUCGGUCCGUAAAGUACUUUUAUGUUGGAAAAACGAUGAUUGUACAACAUGAAUAAGGGGUUGCUAACUCUGUG
rnacentral:rRNA from 1 species